GUAGGUAUAGCUCAGUGGUAGAGUGCAUGCCUACCAUGCAUGAGGUCCUGGUUUCAAUCCUCAGUAACUCCA
rnacentral:tRNA from 1 species